rnacentral:misc_RNA from 1 species
CUUCUGAAGUUUUGGCACGAGAUCGACUUCUUGGUUCAUUUUCUGUUAAGCCUGUAUUGAGCAGAUUAAAGUACACUCUUCUAACACUUGCAACGUCAUUAUUUGUAUGCAUUCUUCUGUUCAUCAAUGUUGGUGAAGCCCAAAAGGGUCCAUACCCAUCUGAAGCAGCUAAGGAUAGAGCCAUUCCUGGGGUGUAUAAUGAUGAUUCAGCCAGAUCUUUCGAGCCAGAUGCAUUCUGCGGUGAGCCAAAGCUUUCUUAGUUGCAAAACAAAAUUAAGCAGCUGUCUAUAUUUUGUACAGGCCAGUAUAGAUUCAGG